rnacentral:tRNA from 1 species
GGAAGGGUGGCCGAGUGGUUUAAGGCAGCGGUCUUGAAAACCGCCGUGGGCGCAAGUCUACCGUGGGUUCGAAUCCCACCCCUUCCGCCA